rnacentral:pre_miRNA from 1 species
GCCUCCUAUCCUUCAUUCCACCGGAGUCUGUGUGUCACCAAUCAGAUUUCAGUGGUGUGAAGUGUAAGAGGCA